rnacentral:rRNA from 1 species
GGGGAAUUUUCCGCAAUGGGCGCAAGCCUGACGGAGCAACGCCGCGUGAGGGAUGAAGGCCUCUGGGCUGUAAACCUCUUUUCUCAAGGAAGAAGAUCUGACGGUACUUGAGGAAUAAGCCACGGCUAAUUCCGUGCCAGCAACCGCGGUAAUACGGGAGUGGCAAGCGUUAUCCGGAAUUAUUGGGCGUAAAGCGUCCGCAGGCGGCCUUGAAAGUCUGUUGUUAAAGCGUGGAGCUUAACUCCAUUUCAGCAAUGGAAACUACAAGGCUAGAGUGUGGUAGGGGCAGAGGGAAUUCCCGGUGUAGCGGUGAAAUGCGUAGAUAUCGGGAAGAACACCAGUGGCGAAGGCGCUCUGCUGGGCCAUAACUGACGCUCAUGGACGAAAGCCAGGGGAGCG